rnacentral:rRNA from 1 species
UAAAACGUAGGAGGCAAGCGUUAUCCGGAUUCACUGGGCGUAAAGCGCGUGCAGGCGGUUCGGUAAGUUGGGCGUGAAAUCUCCUGGCUUAACUAGGAGAGGUCGUUCAAUACUACCGGACUUGAGAGUGAUAGAGGAAGAUGGAAUUCCCGGUGUAGUGGUGAAAUGCGUAGAUAUCGGGAGGAACACCAGUGGCGAAAGCGAUCUUCUGGAUCAUUUCUGACGCUCAGACGCGAAAGCUAGGGUAGUAAACGGGAUUAGAGACCCCGGUAAUCCUAGCCGUAAACGAUGUAAACUUGGCGUCGGUGGCUUAAACUCCAUCGGUGCCGCAGCUAACGCGAUAAGUUUACCGCCUGGGGACUACGAUCGCAAGAUUA